rnacentral:rRNA from 1 species
GGCGAACGCUGGCGGCGCGCCUAAUGCAUGCAAGUCGAGCGACGCAUGCCCGGUGGGUAACCACUAGGUAUGACGGAGCGGCGAACGGGUGAGUAACACGUGAGUAACCUGCCCCGAAGACCCGGGAUAGCCCGGGGAAACCCGGAUUAAUACCGGAUACCCUCUCUGGAUCGCAUGGUCCGGUGAGGAAAUGCCUUUGCGCUUCGGGAUGGACUCGCGGCCUAUCAGCUUGUUGGUGAGGUAACGGCUCACCAAGGCUACGACGGGUAGCUGGUCUGAGAGGACGAUCAGCCACACUGGGACUGAGACACGGCCCAGACUCCUACGGGAGGCAGCAGCAGGGAAUCUUGUCCAAUGGGCGCAAGCCUGAGACAGCGACGCCGCGUGAGGGAUGAAGGCCUUCGGGUUGUAAACCUCUUUCAGGAGGGACGAAAUUGACGGUACCUCCAGAAGAAGCCCCGGCCAACUACGUG